GAUAGUAAUGAUAGCGGUAGCGGUAGCGCUAGCGACGAUGGCGAAAACUGAGAAUAGGAUCGUUUACACACUGCACAUCGCACAUUCAACAAAUCAACAAUCAAUCAAUUAAACAAAUAAAUGAAAAAAUUAAAUUUAGUUUAAUUUAAAGAACAAUGUUAAUAGUUCUUAUCAUGAAGUCUGGCUAUAUAUUUAGCGUGGACUUUCGUAUUAUCUAACCGAUAAUUCAUAAUAAAUAAUACCUAGAGUUGUAAAGCACUAUUGUAACAAAACAAUAGUAAAACCGAUAACAAAAAUCAUGGUAAAAUGUCGUAUCCGAGAUUUUUUUCAUAUUAUAGAUGUUCCGUAAUUGAACAUAGUGAAAUGGAUGCGUUCAACGCCCGCAAUUGAUACACAUGAAUGUCAUCGUUCGAUUGUCAACACAGUCUUCUCAAUGUAAAUGAUUCGUGUUUACAUUAAUUUUCACAUCAAUUUUUCUUUGCAUUGAAUUUUUAAACUUUAAAACUGGAAAUUGUUCGUACGAUUUACGAUAAGGAAGAAUAAAUUGAAAAGUUGCAUUAUCCUUGGAUUGCUAAAUUCACAGAUCUAUUGGACAGAGUAUAAGACGUUAUUACACUCUAUUUGCGCUCAAAAAUAUUGAAUAUUUCAAAGAUUCAAGAUAAAAUCACCAUGGAUUCAGAUCCAGGCGAAGGCACUUCCGAUGGUCGAUUUAAGCGCAAGCAAAAGCAAACGCAAAAGCCAAGCAACUCAAAGUUCAAAAACAAAACCCGAAUCAAAACUAAUCAAGUCGGUUCUGGCAAUGUUGUUGAGUCAUUUAUAAGUUUUAUUUUUUUUUUAUUUAUAAUCUAUGUCUUAACAUUGAUGUUAUAAUUUAGUUGAUACUUGAGUCGAUUUACCGCUGAUCUUUGAAUAUUAAUCAUUGAAUUGAAAUUUUGGAAACACAACCAGAAAGUAAAAAAAAGAAGUCACGGCUAUUGUGUUCUUGUAUGUCAUUUAGCAGAUAAGUGUCAAACUGGUUGACUGUAAUCAAAAAUGACUUUGAUUUUAAAACGUAUGAAAAUAUAUUUUGCUUACAAUAACGGUGACGUGAAACAGAGUCGAUGACGCGAAAAUGUCAAUCAAUUUCACAAAAUUAUGAAAUUCGCGAAUAAAAUUGGUGAUUUUUGUGCAAAAGAUAAAAAAUUAUGGGAAAAAGCCUUUGAGGUUAAUAAUUUGACCCACCCUAGUAUUUAUAUAUGCUAAUAUCAUCUUCAUUGAAAUACUUUUGUUUUAAAAUAUUUGAAUUCAAAUCUGGUGUAUUCAGUUUUUGUUUUUGUGUUUAUGACUUUUUUUUUGCCAAUAACCAUUUCAACAACGAUAUAAUCGAAUGAAAAUCAAAAGAAUCACCAAUAGAUGGCGCAUCCUCUAGUUUCGUCUUCGCGGUCAUUCUGAACUAUUUGGAAUAAAAUUGCCAGAUGCAUUCACAGUCGAUGCCAAGAUACAAGAUCAGCAUGCAGAGCGACGCUUCAAACAAUUUGAUGAAAAUAAGCGUAAAAAGCAACAAAAGUAUCAAACAUCAAAAAAUUCCAAUGGAUCUGAAUAUGAUUCGGAUCAGUCUUGGCGGUAGCGGUAGCGACGAUGGCGAAAACUGAGAAUAGCAUCGUUCACACACUGCACAUCGCUCAUUCAACAAAUCAACAAUCAAUGAAUCAAACAAAUUAAUGAAAAAUUAAAUUUAGUUUAAUUUAAGGAACAAUGUUAAUAGUUCUUAUCAUGAAGUCUGGCUAUAUUUAGCGUGGAAUUCCGUAUUAUCUUACUGAUACACAUUUUAAUUUGUAUACAUAAAUUGUUUUGUGUGCGUAGCAAUACAAAAUAAAUGUAAAAAAGACAAUUACAAAUUGAUUGAAUCAUAUCGCGAAAUGAAAUCUUGACACUCAAUGUACACUAGGGUGUUUUUCAUAUCUGUAAAUAAAAAAAAUGGUAUGUUUCAAUUUUAUAAUAAUAAUGACUGCAGCGCCAAAAAUCAUUUAUAUAAAUACAAUAUAAUAUAGUUAAUUUUUUAUUGAAUUAGUUCUAUUUUUCAUCUGAUAAUUUUCAAUUAUCAGUUAUACUGGACAAAUGAUGUUGAGCUGGAUCAAUGCACCACAAUGCAGUCAAUAUACGAUAUAAUGAGCCAGUCGUCAGAACUGUUGAAACAAAGCAAAUAUAUAGAGACUACAUAAAUGCUGACUAUAAAGUAAUAAAUGAGUCACUCCUUGAUGUUGACUGGAUUAAAAAAUUCGAUUCAAAUUCAUUAGAAUUAAGUCUUGAAAAUUUCUAUACAAUUGUAAAGUCAACAAUCGAAAAGCAUGUCCAGUUGAAUACAAAAAUCAUCAGGAAGCAACCGUUAUGGUUUAACAAGCCACUAAUCGAGAUGAAAAACAAAGUCAGCAAAGCUCUUCAGAUUAAAAAUAAGGUCAACACAAUUGAAUCAGUAGAAAAUUUUAAACAAUUAAGAAGAGAAUAUAAACGCAGUGCACGGUCAGCACUCAAUGAUUACAGAAUUGAGAUGGAGAAUCUGAUAGACAAUGAUCCAAAGAAAUUUUUCAGACAUGUGAAUUACAAAAAAGGGAAAAGUGAUGAUCUGCCUCAUGAAAUGUCUUAUCUGGAUAUGAGGGCAGAUGACCAGUCUACGAUCGCUGGUUUCUUUACAAAGCACUUUGCCUCAGCCUACAGCUCUUUGAAGGAAGAUAUACAAUUGGAUAGCUCGGAGAUUGAAAAUAUUCGCAACAUUUGUGCAGAAAUAUCACCGAUUGAAAUAACUGAGGAGCUUGUUGGACAAAAAAUUGACAUGCUCCCUGAUGAUCUAGUCAGUGGUCCAGAUGAAGAAACAAGAUUCAAAAUUAUUGUGGUGUCGCUCUUCAGUGUAUAGUGUCAAAAAUUCUUGAUUCGAUCGUCAAGAACCAUCUCAAUCAAUAUCUAAAGAACGUACACGAAACUCAACAUAGGUUCAUCAAAAAUAGGUCAACGAUAACGAACUUGGCAGAAUUUACAUCGAAUACGAUAAUUAACAUGGGAAAGGGACAUCAAAC